GAGACGCACACAGAGAGGCAGAGACACAGGUGGAGGGAGAAGCCGGCUCCCCAAGGGGAGCCCGACGGGGGCCAAUCUGGAUCUCGGGACCCCAGGACCAUGCCCUGGCCAGAAGGCAGCGACCAAACUGCAAAGCCACCCAGGCGACCCAAGUCAUUGAUCUUUGUAACCUAAUGUUUUACUUUAUUUUCUGUCAUAUGGAUAUUGUUUCUGUGUUCAAAUCGUUCACUUCCUCUUCAUACUUUUCAUCUGCUUAGACACUGUCUUUGAAGAAGCCUUUCCCACCCUUAAUUUCCUAAGUAGUCGCCUCGGUUUGCUCCCGUUUAUUUCUCUCUUUAAUGCAUCAGUUUUAUUAAGCUAACUGGCACCCAUCUUCAAGAUUUGUAAAUCAUUCUUCUCUUGAAGUCUUUCCACCUUGUUUUCCAAAAUGAACACAGUCACCUUGACCAGGAAAUGCCAGAGGCAUUCAAGGUUCUAAUCUGUGUGAAAGAACCGGUUCUUCUUUGAAGCCUCUGGACAUGGACGCGUCUUGCCUUAGGGAAAGGGGCAGCAGAAGUAUCAGGAAAGUGACUGUCAAAUCUGAAUUCCCUCUUCUUCAAAAAUACUGGUUGGAUCUGCCUACAGGGAAGCUGUAACAAAGUAAGACAAACCAGGCAGCUUUCAGGCGUUCACGACAAAAAUGCAUGGUCUCACUGUUCUGGAGGCUGGGAGUCUGAGAUUCAGGUGUGGGCACGACAAAAAUACAUUCUCUCACUGUUCUGGAGGCUGGGAGUCUGAGAUUCAGGUGUGGGCAGG